rnacentral:tRNA from 1 species
GGCUGAGUAGUCAAAUAAUGAUAUUAAAUUGCAAGUUUAAAGUUAAAUUUAAUUUUUUAGCUU